GACGAACGCUGGCGGCGUGCUUAACACAUGCAAGUCGAACGGAGAGGCCCUGCUUUUGUGGGGUGCUCGAGUGGCGAACGGGUGAGUAACACGUGAGUAACCUGCCCUUGACUUUGGGAUAACUUCAGGAAACUGGGGCUAAUACCGGAUAGGAGCUCCUGCUGCAUGGUGGGGGUUGGAAAGUUUCGGCGGUUGGGGAUGGACUCGCGGCUUAUCAGCUUGUUGGUGGGGUAGUGGCUGACCAAGGCUUUGACGGGUAGCCGGCCUGAGAGGGUGACCGGCCACAUUGGGACUGAGAUACGGCCCAGACUCCUACGGGAGGCAGCAGUGGGGAAUAUUGCACAAUGGGCGGAGGCCUGAUGCAGCAACGCCGCGUGCGGGAUGACGGCCUUCGGGUUGUAAACCGCUUUCGCCUGUGACGAAGCGUGAGUGACGGUAAUGGGUAAAGAAGCACCGGCUAACUACGUG
rnacentral:rRNA from 1 species